rnacentral:lncRNA from 1 species
UUCGAGGCCAGCCUGGUCUACAAAGUGAGUUCCAGGACAGCCAGGGCUACAGAGAAACCCUGUCUUAAAAAAUUAAAAAAAAAAAAAAAAAAAAAAAGUAUAAUCACACCACAAGCGUGUAAUUAUGGGAAGUGGAGACGGGGCUCACUAGCUAGCCAGGUUAGCCAAAGUAAUGAGCUACAGGCUCAAUGAGAGAAUCCUGUCCAAAGUCAGGGUAAACAGCGAUAGACAUCAGUCUGUCCGCCUCUGGCCCCCUGUGUUCAGGAGUGUGUAAGCACAUACACACCAGAAAGUAAGCUUAAAUAAUAAAAUUCCUUCCUGCCUACUGAGUGGAGAGUGGUACUCAGGACCACUCUGGUUGCCAGGGUAAGAGGAGAGAAGUGACGUCAUGUGGGACCGUUGAGAGACGAUGCUGUGCCACCAAAGCCCAGGCUGUGGAAGUGGGGAGCUUGGCAGCAAGGCCUGGGUGCUGAGCUGUGAGAAGAUGGGGCCUCUGGACGAAGGCUCUUCAGGAAAUGUUUUGAGCUACGGUCUUGUCUGGUCUUAAUGAACCCCGUGCUUCCAAGGAUGCUCUAACCAAGCCCAAACUCUCCGCGUUUGUUUCACCCUCAGGUGAUGAUUGGAACGGCGCUCAAUGCGAGCGAGAUGAAGAAGCUCAUCACCCACAUGGGUGAGAUGGACCACCCCUGGAACUGCCCCCACGGCAGGCCAACCAUGAGGCACGUUGCCAAUCUGGAUGUCAUCUCUCAGAACUGACACACCCCUUGUAGCAUAGAGUUUAUUACAGAUUGUUCGGUUUGCAAAGAGAAGGUUUUAAGUAAUCUGAUUAUCGUUGUACAAAAAUUAGCAUGCUGCUUUAAUGUACUGGAUCCAUUUAAAAGCAGUGUUAAGGCAGGCAUGAUGGAGUGUUCCUCUAGCUCAGCUACUUGGGAGAUCCCGGUGGGAGGCUCAUGUGAGCCCAGGACUUUGAGACCACUCCGAGCCACAUUCAUGAGACUCAAUUCAAGGACAAAAAAAAAAAAGAUAUUUUUGAAGCCUUUUUACCAUGUCUGCAGUUACUGUUCUGCAAUUUGACUUUGUGUGUGUGUGUGUGUGUGUGUGUGUGUGUGUGUGUGUGUGUGUGUGUGGCAACUUUUGACUUUGAGCCCUCAAUGGCGAUUGAAUUCUAUUUGUUUUCUCACCCACCCACCCUCACCCCAGUGUCUGAGGCAGCGUUUUGUGAAACUCAGGCUUCUCUUGACUCGUUUUGUCACCAAGGUUGGCCUAGAACUGAGCUUGCCUCCACGGCCCAAGAGCUGGGAUCCCAGGUGUGUGUCACAUAUGCCCACAUUAAAAAAAUAUGGUCUUUUUUAAUUAGCAGCUCUCAAUCCCGACUCAUGAAAUUUAAGAACAAAGGACUUCUUUACCUGGUUGGAAAGAAAUUGCUGACUAGGAUUGGGAUGCCUUUGGAGUGGGUAGAAAGGGAUGAGACGGGCUUCCAGCCCUGGCUGAUCUGGAACUUGCUAUUUAGAGCACCCCAGCUUGAACUCAUAUUCCCCUGCCUCUGCCUCCUGAAUUCUAGGAUUAAAGUCACGAGCCACCACACCUAGCUUGGGGUCACUAUUUUUUAACUGUUCCUCAGUGCAGCUAGAGUGGAAAGUUCCAUUCCAGGCAAGGGCUGGGCCGAGGCAGGGAGUAGAAGAUAGUCUGUGCCGUAGCUCAGUGCUGUAAUUUGAUUUCCUUGGGGUGUGAACUAUGGGUUUUUUGUUCUGUUUCUGUGGAGUCUUGUCCAUUGGAACUGUGUGAGAGAUAGAAAUUACAAUGCCUCCUGUGAAGUCCAGGCGGCAGUUAGGAAGAGUGGUGACUGGCAUGGGCAGUUGCCCCUCCAGCUUCCUCUGUGCUGUGGGCCUCCUGGAGAAGAGGAGGUGCCAUGGUUCAUGUGUGCCGAGGUUGUAAAGGCUUAGCUACCUGCAUUUGUUAAUGUCAAAGUCCAUGCUACUGCUGGGUAGAGUGGCACAGACCUGCAAGUUCAAGCACAGCAGAGGCAGGCUGAGGCCAUCCUGGGCUGCUCCAUAGUCCCAGGCCAGAGAGGGUUACAUACCAAAAUUCUGUCUCAAGACACACACUGCUAGUCCAGCUCCAACCACAGGGUCUCAGAACAUUCACAGGAGCACUGCAAGUUGGGGUGGUACAGUAAUGCCCCCUCAAAAGAGUCUGCUUCUCAUCACCAGAAGCUGUGACUGUUACCUUAUAUGUGACAAAGGGGACUCUUGAGAUGGGAUUAAGGAGCCCAGUAAUGGGGAGAUUGACCUGUGCAGUCUGAAGGGCACUGUCCGUCACAUUAGUUCUUCAAAGUAGAGGACAAGUAUACUGACUCUUCCUGAACCCUCCAAGUAAGCCAGGCCUGCAACUUACCGCUGAUAGACUAUGGCUUCAAGCCACUGUUUGGUGGAAAACAAAAGCUUAUGUUAUUCUAUUUUAUGGUGAAGAAACCUGCUGAGGGAGGUCACAUGGUUUGCAGUUAGAUCGGGAAAAUCCAGGUCAAGUACAUCCUGCUCCCUUGCCUAGCCAGUUCCUCCCUUCUUGGAUGCAUUACAGCUUUGUACUGGUACCCGCGGCCCCUUUAAGAGGACAGGAGGCGGGGCUUGUUUCAGUUGCUUAGAGACCACCUAGCUCCCAGGACGCAAAGUCUUCCUUAAUAAUGCCACUUUGGGAUCUGCAGGCCUGGCCAGAGCAGGUGGGUGAGCACCCUAAAGUAGUCCUGUGUGUAUAGCAACAACGUAAAGACCUGGGCCAGUUCCCUUCUUAGCCUCCCAAGACUCGAACACGUGCUUGAUUGAUAAAGGGACCCUGCGGAAGGGUGGAGUGGUGCUGGGACCCUCGCCCAGAGAAAAGGCCUGUUUGGCCUUGGGUGCAAUAAUGCUGUGACUUCCUUAAGAAUGGGGUCGGGGUGGGGUCAUCACUAUAAGAAACGAGCUAGUUUUAUCUGUAGUUUGAAUUUCACUAAUAGAGGACCAGAAAACCUAGAGUAAAUGGUUGUUCAAGUUGAGAGUGGAGAGCAGCUUGGGCUGGCUUGGCUGAUAUUCAUCAGGCCCUUGGACGAGUGGGCGCGCAGGGGUUGGAGAAGCUCAGAGGUGGGAUUGAGCAUGCCUAGCAGCGGCAGGCAUGGAGUGCCACACUAUCCACCCCCAGGGGGCACGAACCUGGACCAGAUUUCUUUCCACCCCAGGAUUUCUUUGCAUCUUGCUUGCCUAAUGCAGUAGGACACCAUGGCCGAGAUCUGUUUCCGAGUGGCAUGAAAAGCCCUGGCUUUGGCCCUCUGCCCUCAGCUCCGAAACUCAUCCGGUCUCUUCCAGCCCCAGUAGUGAUGAGAGCGGCUGGGUCAUGAAGCUCUACCACAGGACUACUCUCGAGUUUCCCACUUGACUCCUUUUCCCAAGAAAUUGUUGUAACUCUGGCUUUAGUAUAUACAUAGGUAUACACAACAAUAUUUACUGAUAAUAGUAAAAUAUACUUCUUAAACAAUUUUGGGAUACAUAUAAAAUUUACCCUUUACUAAAUAAAGCAAACUUGUGUACUAAGG